UACAGAGGUCCCAAGCGUUACUGAGAAUCACUGGGUUUAAAGGGUGCGUAGGUGGUCCGUUAAGUCAGUUGUGAAAUCCCCGGGCUCAACCCGGGAACUGCUUCUGAUACUGGCGGACUUGAGGCCAGUAGGGGUCACUAGAACUGACGGUGGAGCGGUGAAAUGCGUAGAUAUCGUCAGGAAUGCCGGUGGUGAAGACGGGUGACUGGGCUGGUUCUGACACGGAGGCACGAAAGCGUGGGGAGCGAACGGG
rnacentral:rRNA from 1 species